rnacentral:rRNA from 1 species
CAACCGAGUUUACAACUCCCAAACCCCUGUGAACAUACCUAUACGUUGCCUCGGCGGAUCAGCCCGCGCCCCGUAAAACGGGACGGCCCGCCCGAGGACCCUAAACUCUGUUUUUAGUGGAACUUCUGAGUAAAACAAACAAAUAAAUCAAAACUUUCAACAACGGAUCUCUUGGUUCUGGCAUCGAUGAAGAACGCAGCAAAAUGCGAUAAGUAAUGUGAAUUGCAGAAUUCAGUGAAUCAUCGAAUCUUUGAACGCACAUUGCGCCCGCCAGUAUUCUGGCGGGCAUGCCUGUUCGAGCGUCAUUUCAACCCUCAAGCUCAGCUUGGUGUUGGGACUCGCGGUAACCCGCGUUCCCCAAAUCGAUUGGCGGUCACGUCGAGCUUCCAUAGCGUAGUAAUAAUACACCUCGUUACUGGUAAUCGUCGCGGCCACGCCGUAAAACCCCAACUUCUGAAUGUUGACCUCGGAUCAGGUAGGAAUACCCGCUGAACUUAAGCAUAUCAA